rfam:Frankia sp. BMG5.36 contig_184, whole genome shotgun sequence.
CUUCACCGAGCCGAGCAGCAACGGCCGGUCCGCCGGCCGCUCCUGGCCGUAGGUGGCGAGCAGCGCCGCGGCCUC